UACAUGCAGUCGAGCGGACAGAAGGGAGCUUGCUCCCGGAUGUUAGCGGCGGACGGGUGAGUAACACGUGGGUAACCUGCCUGUAAGACUGGGAUAACUCCGGGAAACCGGAGCUAAUACCGGAUAGUUCCUUGAACCGCAUGGUUCAAGGAUGAAAGACGGUUUCGGCUGUCACUUACAGAUGGACCCGCGGCGCAUUAGCUAGUUGGUGGGGUAAUGGCUCACCAAGGCGACGAUGCGUAGCCGACCUGAGAGGGUGAUCGGCCACACUGGGACUGAGACACGGCCCAGACUCCUACGGGAGGCAGCAGUAGGGAAUCUUCCGCAAUGGACGAAAGUCUGACGGAGCAACGCCGCGUGAGUGAUGAAGGUUUUCGGAUCGUAAAGCUCUGUUGUUAGGGAAGAACAAGUGCGAGAGUAACUGCUCGCACCUUGACGGUACCUAACCAGAAAGCCACGGCUAACUACGUGCCAGCAGCCGCGGUAAUACGUAGGUGGCAAGCGUUGUCCGGAAUUAUUGGGCGUAAAGGGCUCGCAGGCGGUUUCUUAAGUCUGAUGUGAAAGCCCCCGGCUCAACCGGGGAGGGUCAUUGGAAACUGGGAAACUUGAGUGCAGAAGAGGAGAGUGGAAUUCCACGUGUAGCGGUGAAAUGCGUAGAGAUGUGGAGGAACACCAGUGGCGAAGGCGACUCUCUGGUCUGUAACUGACGCUGAGGAGCGAAAGCGUGGGGAGCGAACAGGAUUAGAUACCCUGGUAGUCCACGCCGUAAACGAUGAGUGCUAAGUGUUAGGGGGUUUCCGCCCCUUAGUGCUGCAGCUAACGCAUUAAGCACUCCGCCUGGGGAGUACGGUCGCAAGACUGAAACUCAAAGGAAUUGACGGGGGCCCGCACAAGCGGUGGAGCAUGUGGUUUAAUUCGAAGCAACGCGAAGAACCUUACCAGGUCUUGACAUCCUCUGACAACCCUAGAGAUAGGGCUUUCCCUUCGGGGACAGAGUGACAGGUGGUGCAUGGUUGUCGUCAGCUCGGGUCGUGAGAUGUU
rnacentral:rRNA from 1 species